AUGAACGCUAGCUACAGGCUUAACACAUGCAAGUCGAGGGGCAGCAUGAACUUAGCUUGCUAAGUUUGAUGGCGACCGGCGCACGGGUGAGUAACACGUAUCCAACCUGCCGAUGACUCGGGGAUAGCCUUUCGAAAGAAAGAUUAAUACCCGAUGGCAUAAUUCUUCCGCAUGGUAGAAUUAUUAAAGAAUUUCGGUCAUCGAUGGGGAUGCGUUCCAUUAGGUUGUUGGCGGGGUAACGGCCCACCAAGCCUUCGAUGGAUAGGGGUUCUGAGAGGAAGGUCCCCCACAUUGGAACUGAGACACGGUCCAAACUCCUACGGGAGGCAGCAGUGAGGAAUAUUGGUCAAUGGACGAGAGUCUGAACCAGCCAAGUAGCGUGAAGGAUGACUGCCCUAUGGGUUGUAAACUUCUUUUAUACGGGAAUAAAGUGAGGCACGUGUGCCUUUUUGUAUGUACCGUAUGAAUAAGGAUCGGCUAACUCCGUGCCAGCAGCCGCGGUAAUACGGAGGAUCCGAGCGUUAUCCGGAUUUAUUGGGUUUAAAGGGAGCGUAGGCGGACGCUUAAGUCAGUUGUGAAAGUUUGCGGCUCAACCGUAAAAUUGCAGUUGAUACUGGGUGUCUUGAGUACAGUAGAGGCAGGCGGAAUUCGUGGUGUAGCGGUGAAAUGCUUAGAUAUCACGAAGAACUCCGAUUGCGAAGGCAGCCUGCUGGACUGUAACUGACGCUGAUGCUCGAAAGUGUGGGUAUCAAACAGGAUUAGAUACCCUGGUAGUCCACACAGUAAACGAUGAAUACUCGCUGUUUGCGAUAUACAGUAAGCGGCCAAGCGAAAGCGUUAAGUAUUCCACCUGGGGAGUACGCCGGCAACGGUGAAACUCAAAGGAAUUGACGGGGGCCCGCACAAGCAGCGGAGCAUGUGGCUUAAUUCGAAGCAACGCGAAGAACCUUACCAGGUCUUGACAUCGAGUGACGAAUCUAGAGAUAGAUUUUUCCUUCGGGACACAAAGACAGGUGGUGCAUGGUUGUCGUCAGCUCGUGCCGUGAGGUGUCGGCUUAAGUGCCAUAACGAGCGCAACCCUUAUCGAUAGUUACCAUCAGGUGAUGCUGGGGACUCUGUCGAGACUGCCGUCGUAAGAUGUGAGGAAGGUGGGGAUGACGUCAAAUCAGCACGGCCCUUACGUCCGGGGCUACACACGUGUUACAAUGGGGGGUACAGAAGGCAGCUACACGGCGACGUGAUGCUAAUCCCGAAAGCCUCUCUCAGUUCGGAUUGGAGUCUGCAACCCGACUCCAUGAAGCUGGAUUCGCUAGUAAUCGCGCAUCAGCCACGGCGCGGUGAAUACGUUCCCGGGCCUUGUACACACCGCCCGUCAAGCCAUGAAAGCCGGGGGUACCUGAAGUGCGUAACCGCAAGGAGCGCCCUAGGGUAAAACUGGUGAUUGGGGCU
rnacentral:rRNA from 1 species